rnacentral:tRNA from 1 species
GUUGUGGCUCAGUGGUAGCAUUCUUGCCUUGCAUGCAUGGGGCACUGGGUUCAAUUCUCAGCACCACA